rnacentral:rRNA from 1 species
AUUGAACGCUGGCGGCAGGCCUAACACAUGCAAGUCGAGCGAGCGGCGGACGGGUGAGUAAUGUCUGGGAAACUGUCCGAUGGAGGGGGAUCACUACUGGAAACGGUAGCUAAUACCGCAUACCAUCAGAUGUGCCCAGAUGGGAUUAGCUAGUUGGUGGGGUAACGGCUCACCAAGCCGACGAUCCCGAGCUGGUCUGAGAGGAUUACCAGCCACACGGGAACUGAGACACGGUCCAGACUCCUACGGGAGGCAGCAGUGGGGAAUAUUGGACAAUGGGCGAAAGCCUGAUGCAGCCAUGCCGCGUGUGUGAAGAAGGCCUUCGGGUUGUAAAGCACUUUCAGCGGGGAGGCGUUACCCGCAGAAGAAGCACCGGCUAACUCCGUGCCAGCAGCCGCGGUAAUUC